CUCUACCCAUGGUUUCCUUCCCCUCUGAGGCCCUGGCUUUCUGCAAUAGGUCCCAUCAGUGGUCUUUGUGCCACCCCUGCCAGCUUGGAGGCCUUCCCCCUGCCCUGGAAUUACCUCCGCAGAAUUCUAGGAGUAAGAGGUUGCUUGUCUCCCCUCCCAAGCCUCUGGACUUCAGAAGAACCAUCUGGAACUUCAUUCAAAGUGGAAAAGAACAGUCUCGGCCUCUCGUUUCAGUGACUAGCAGGAAGCCAGUGAUUACAGAAAUAUUUCAGGAGACUGAGGACCAAACGCAGCCUACUUUGGUGGAGCAACAGCCCAAAGCCACAAGAUCUCUGAUGCCUAAUUUUGGUUGUCAUCUUGACUGCAUCUGGAACUAACUAAAAGCAAGCUGCCGGGCUCUCUGGAUUUUCUGAAUCAGACUAUGUGGAGCAGGAAGACCUGUCCUAUACCCGGGCAACACCUCUGAUGGCAGAAGCUUUGCCUUGCCUGCCUGUCCUCACUCCUGCUGGCAGACCCAUCUACCCUUUGCUGUGGUAUCCCUUCACUGACUUUAGGACCAGCAUAGCCAGAGCUUCAACACAGACUGAUUAUCAGCAGCUCUCCAGGGCCGCAGGCAUCUAGCCUGGCAGACUGAACAACCACUGGAUUCUCGGCCUCAGUGUGAGGCAGCCAUUGCUGGACCACCUGAACCGCAUCCCAGCAAGACGAUCCAUUCUCUCAGUUCUGUUCUUUUAGAGAAUCUUAACACAAUUCCUCACGUGAAAGAAAAUGUGACAUUUGUCUUUGAGUUUGGUUUAUUUUAAUUAACGUUAUGAUCUCAAUCCAUAUCCGUUUUCCAGAAAGUGACAUAACUUUAUUCAUUCAUUCAUUCAUUCUUAUUCUUUUUGGUUUAUUAAGACGGUCUCACUGUAUGGCUGGCCUGGAACUCACGCCGUAGACCAGGCUGGCCUGGAUCUGACAGAGAUCCAUCUGCCUCUUCCUCCCAAUGCUGGGAUUAAAGAUGUGCACCACCACACCCAGAUACACACCCAGAUAAUUAUUGUUACUUCUCUUGACGAUGGUUAUCCUUCCUUGGGUAAGAUAGAAUGUAUUUUUAGUUUGCUUUUUCCUGAUGGAUAAGGAUAAACAUCUUUUCGAGUAUUUUUUUUCUAUUUCAAUAAUUUUAAAACCAUUUACCUUUAAAGAUUUAAUUUUAUGUGUAUGAAUG